UUGCUAGCCUGCACCGAGGCUGGGCCGCCCGCCCGCGAGGCUGCGGGGUGCUCGCGCGAGGCUGGGGCUGCCGGGGCCGGCACGCCCACUAGGCUGUGGCUUGCCUGCGCGCCCGCGAGGCUGUGUGGGUGGCCUGCCUGCGCGCCCGUGUGGCCGCGGCUACCCACGUCGGAGGCGCGCAUCCGGCUCUCACCUGCGCUGGAGCGUGCCUGCACGCGUCGUGGCUCCCGUGCCGAAACGCUGUCAUGGCCGGGGCUACGCCUGGCCGGAGUGCUAGCCGAGCCCGCGCUAGUGCCCGUAGCCAACCAAAGUCACGCCAUCCGAGAGCGCCUCCGCGUCGUGCGCCUGACCGGAUCCGCCAAGGACUGCGCGCUAGUGUCGUGCCCGCGGCCAGGUCGCGUUGCCGCGCCCGCGUCGAGCCAGGUUCGGCCGCGUCGGGUCUCCGCGCUCAGGAGGCCGAGCGCCCCUGCCCGCCAGGGCUUCCAAGCGCCUGCACGCCGCCAGGGCGCGGAUCCAGCCCACGUCAAGCCGCUCCCAGCGCUUGCGCGCUGCCAGGGCGGAGCGGAUCCGACCGUGCUGAGGACCCACGCUGGGGGUCGCGCUCGCGGCCAGCAGCCCGCGGCCGGUCGGGCAUCCCGCUGUCCUUGCGCGCGCUAG
rnacentral:misc_RNA from 1 species